CUCGAAAUAGUUUACUUAAAAUAUUGAUUUUGGAUAUCAAAGAUGCUUUUGGCUUUUGAGA
rnacentral:tRNA from 1 species